UACGUAGGGGGCAAGCGUUGUCCGGAAUUAUUGGGCGUAAAGAGCGCGUAGGCGGUCCGAUAAGUCGGCUGUGAAAGUCAGGGGCUCAACCCUUGAAAGCCGGCCGAUACUGUCGGACUAGAGUCCGGAAGAGGCAAGUGGAAUUCCCGGUGUAGCGGUGAAAUGCGCAGAUAUCAGGAGGAACACCGGUGGCGAAGGCGGGUCUCUGGGCCGAAACUGACGCUGAGGAGCGAAAGCGUGGGGAGCGAACAGG
rnacentral:rRNA from 1 species